UGUUGAUCUACUUGUCGGCCACUCACAGUCUCCAUUCAUACACAACCAUGAAACGACAAAAUUACAUCUCUUGUUUACAUGUAGGAAUGUCCCAUUUGGGUUUUAUUGUUUAGGUCUCAUCUCGUGCACAUGGGAGUUUCUGUUUGGAGUUAUUUCCCUAUUGAGAGUGUCCUAAUCCAAUCUAAUCCAUGGGACUGAGGAGGUGGAGGAGGAACAAUG
rnacentral:misc_RNA from 1 species